AAUCACAUAACUGAAAUUAAUGACGCAACUGAAACUAAAAGAUAAUCACACAGUAAGAUAUUAGUGAUUAAUUAAGUAAAUAUAGACAACUCCAUUUGGCUCCUAACAGAAGAAUAACAUCUUCUGUAAUUCUUGUUUUAGCGCCUGUUUGUCUAUUUUUUGUUGUUCGAAUUUAUUUCGGAGAGAAAGCGAGUGAUAAUAAUGUAGAUACCGGUUCUAGACAGCUGCAUAAAGUCUUAAAGUGGAACUCAAAAGCAGUUCCGUCAUGUCAUGUAAACAAGAAAAAAGAAAAGAAAAGAGAAGAGAAAGUUAGAAAGAAAUCCUGAUUCUUGCUUAAUAUUGAAGAUGGAGUAAACUAAAGGAAAAUCACAUUAGCCCGGCAGUGAAUCUGGGACGUCGAUCCCAAAUCUAUUCUCUCGUUAUGAAGAGACCUGAACCUCAAGCCGAAUGAGUUCAAAUACCACGGUCGUAACUAAAAUCUACCGAGAUAGAAAGAAAAGUUUUGGAAUAGAUUCUUAGUCUUUUUAGUGAUGUAGCGUGGAGUAAAGGGGGCGGCUGAACCCUCGAUGUCCCUUUGUGAGCUCGAAAAGACAAUAUUUAUAGGCCACAAAGAUAGAAUUUUGAAAGCGGGAACUUGAUGUUAGGAGUUCGAAAUCGACUGUUUGAAUCCAGAC
rnacentral:lncRNA from 1 species